GGGCCCGCACAAGCGGUGGAGCAUGUGGUUUAAUUCGAUGCAACGCGAAGAACCUUACCUACUCUUGACAUCCUGCGAAUUUGGUAGAGAUACCUUAGUGCCUUCGGGAACGCAGAGACAGGUGCUGCAUGGCUGUCGUCAGCUCGUGUUGUGAAAUGUUGGUUAAGUCCCGUAACGAGCGCAACCCUUGUCCUUAUUUGCCAGCGCGUAAUGGCGGGAACUCUAAGGAGACUGCCGGUGACAAACCGGAGGAAGGUGGGGACGACGUCAAGUCAUCAUGGCCCUUACGAGUAGGGCUACACACGUGCUACAAUGGUCGGUACAAAGGGUUGCCAACUCGCGAGAGUGAGCC
rnacentral:rRNA from 1 species